UUCAUCUUAUAUAAUAAUCAUAUAUAAUUUAUUUUUAUAUGUAUCAACGCCAUGUAGGAAACCAGCUGGUUGCCCAGAGCAGGAUGAUUCUUUAGUGACCCUACCACGGACUGCCACUUCAUCUUGGGACCCAGUUGAAGAAGAACUCACACAGAGGGAGGUAAGUCAUCCAAAAGAGGGAGGUGGCUCAGACAUGGAGAUCAAAAUGAGAGCAACUUUUCCUGUCAACCCUCGGUGGCUGUACUGGAGGUGAUGCCAUCCGCCGCAUGCUGCUGAGACAGUCCAGCCUGCGGGGAAGAAAGACAAAGAGAGCCUUCCAGGACCUGGCUGUACGCAGGGUUAUAACAGGCAGGUGCUAUUUUAUUGUUCACAUCAGUAUUAUGCUUAGCUUGGCUGACAAAAGGUUUUAAUUUGACUUAUAACUUUGCUUCAUUUUGACUUCUACUUUAGUGGCCUGCCAGAAAAACUUCCCUGCGCUGACUGCUGUAGAAGCGGAGGAUUUGAUUGGGCAAGUUCUGGUGUU